rnacentral:rRNA from 1 species
CCUACGGGAGGCAGCAGUGGGGAAUAUUGCACAAUGGGCGCAAGCCUGAUGCAGCCAUGCCGCGUGUGUGAAGAAGGCCUUCGGGUUGUAAAGCACUUUCAGCGGGGAGGAAGGCGUUACGGUUAAUAACCUUGGCGAUUGACGUUACCCGCAGAAGAAGCACCGGCUAACUCCGUGCCAGCAGCCGCGGUAAUACGGAGGGUGCAAGCGUUAAUCGGAAUUACUGGGCGUAAAGCGCACGCAGGCGGUCUGUCAAGUCGGAUGUGAAAUCCCCGGGCUCAACCGGGGAACUGCAUUCGAAACUGGGAGGCUAGAGUCUUGUAGAGGGGGGUAGAAUUCCAGGUGUAGCGGUGAAAUGCGUAGAGAUCUGGAGGAAUACCGGUGGCGAAGGCGGCCCCCUGGACAAAGACUGACGCUCAGGUGCGAAAGCGUGGGGAGCAAACAGGAUUAGAUACCCUAGUAGUC